rnacentral:rRNA from 1 species
AGGGUCGAUCUGGCUCAGGAUGAACGCUAGCUACAGGCUUAACACAUGCAAGUCGAGGGGCAGCAUUGGGGUAGCAAUACUCAGAUGGCGACCGGCGCACGGGUGAGUAACACGUAUCCAACCUGCCGCUUACUCGGGGAUAGCCUUUCGAAAGAAAGAUUAAUACCCGAUGGUAUAAAGAGUUCGCAUGUUCUCUUUAUUAAAGAAUUUCGGUAAGCGAUGGGGAUGCGUUCCAUUAGAUAGUUGGCGGGGUAACGGCCCACCAAGUCUACGAUGGAUAGGGGUUCUGAGAGGAAGGUCCCCCACAUUGGAACUGAGACACGGUCCAAACUCCUACGGGAGGCAGCAGUGAGGAAUAUUGGUCAAUGGACGAGAGUCUGAACCAGCCAAGUAGCGUGAAGGAUGACUGCCCUAUGGGUUGUAAACUUCUUUUAUAAGGGAAUAAAGUGAGGGACGUGUCCCUUUUUGUAUGUACCUUAUGAAUAAGGAUCGGCUAACUCCGUGCCAGCAGCAGC